rnacentral:piRNA from 1 species
UGCUCACCUGUGUGGGUGUCCUCUUCUGGG